GUGUGUGUGUGUGUGUGUGUGUGUGUGUGUGUGUGUGUGUGUGUGUGUGUGUGUGUGUGUGGUUGUAGAGCUACCCAAAGAGGCCAGCAGGAACCAUAGCAGAGAGAUUCAUCAGGACACAACUGGUACCCAGCCUCAAGGGUGGGAGAAACAAUUUGUUCUUUUUUUUUUCUUCCAUUUGCAACAUUUCCUCUGCUGUUGUUCUUUGUCCGUGACAAGUGUGUGUGUAUGUGUGUGUGUGUGUGUGUGUCCUUGACAAGUGCGGGGCGCUUUAGGGGGAUUCCAUUACAGAGAUGGCGUUCCGGAAGGAUAGAUGGGAGAUGGAGGCCGUUUAGGGAGGGAGGGUUGAUGGGAGAUGGAGGCCUGCUAAAGCCCAGACUGGGUGCUCGUGUGUUGCUGCUCGUCUCCAGCAGAUGUGAGCCGUAUUGAUUUCCGCCCUCUAAGUGAUUUAGCCUAAAAUGUGAUUAAUGAGCGUCAUUAAAGGGCAUCAAUAUAUGCAUG
ensembl:lncRNA